rnacentral:rRNA from 1 species
UACGGAGGGAGCUAGCGUUGUUCGGAAUUACUGGGCGUAAAGCGCACGUAGGCGGCUAUUCAAGUCAGAGGUGAAAGCCCCAGGGCUCAACCUUGGAACUGCCUUUGAAACUAGAUAGCUAGAAUCCUGGAGAGGCGAGUGGAAUUCCGAGUGUAGAGGUGAAAUUCGUAGAUAUUCGGAAGAACACCAGUGGCGAAGGCGACUCGCUGGACAGGUAUUGACGCUGAGGUGCGAAAGCGUGGGGAGCAAGCAGG